rnacentral:rRNA from 1 species
GAUGAACGCUGGCGGCGUGCCUAAUACAUGCAAGUCGAGCGAACAGACGAGGAGCUUGCUCCUUUGACGAUAGCGGCGGACGGGUGAGUAACACGUGGAUACCCUACCUAUAAUACGGGGAUAACUUCGGGAAACCGGAUCUAAUACCGGAUAAUAUAUUGAACCGCAUGGUUGGAUAGUGAAAUACGGUGUUUCUGGCACUUAUCGAUGGAUCCGCGCCUCAUGAGCUGGUAGGUGAGGUAACGGGUUACCAAGGCAACGAUGCGUAGCCGACCGGAGAGGGUGAUCGGCCACCCUGGAGGUGGGACGCGGUCAAUACUCCUAAGGGACGCAGCAGAAGGGAACGUGCCGCAGUAGGCGAAAGCAUUACGGAGCGACGCGAAGUGAGAUGCGACGGUCCUGGGAUCGUAAAACCGUGUUAUGAGUGAAGAACAACUGUCGAAGUAGACAAGCACGUAGUGACGGUAAUUAAUCAGGAAGCCCCGGCUAACUACGUG